UGGGGAAUAUUGGGCAAUGGGCGAAAGCCUGACCCAGCGACGCCGCGUGAGGGAAGAAGGUCUUCGGAUUGUAAACCUCUUUCAGCAGGGAAGAAGAAAGUGACGGUACCUGCAGAAGAAGUCACGGCUAACUACGUGCCAGCAGCCGCGGUAAUACGUAGGUGGCGAGCGUUAUCCGGAAUUACUGGGUGUAAAGGGUGUGUAGGCGGGAAUGCAAGUCAGACGUGAAAUCUACGGGCUCAACCUGUAAAUUGCGUUUGAAACUGUAUUUCUUGAGUAUGGGAGAGGUAAACGGAAUUCCUGGUGUAGUAGUGAAAUGCGUAGAUAUCAGGAGGAACACCGGUGGCGAAGGCGGUUUACUGGACCAUAACUGACGCUGAGACACGAAAGCGUGGGGAGC
rnacentral:rRNA from 1 species